rfam:Onchocerca flexuosa genome assembly, scaffold: OFLC_contig0002403
CUCUGAAGUUCUCUUACGCAAUGAGGCUGUUAUAUUCGGUACAGCGAAAGAUUGGAGGAAUUGUGGGACGAAAUGUCUUCAACCUAUUCUCAAGUUUCAAUGAGUAUGACGUCUUGCUUGCUUGAAUAACAUGUAGACACUGAAUGUGUGCUCCAAGUGGGCCAUUUUUGGUGAGAAGAAGUGUGCUGUUGGAUGAACCA